rnacentral:ribozyme from 1 species
UAGAAAUGCAGCACUGGUAAGGGUACGGAUCCGACGCCUCUCGAAGGAUACCUAGGCUCUCCGUACCCUACUCCUACUCAAAACGUCCCCGAUUUUCCUCCUGUCUAACCUAAGACGCGUUCCGCGAGAGAUCUUAGCUUAUGGUUAGUUUGGUUGGU